CAGCAGCCGCGGUAAGACAGAGGGUGCGAGCGUUAAUCGGAUUUACUGGGCGUAAAGCGUGCGUAGGCGGCUUCUUAAGUCGGAUGUGAAAUCCCUGAGCUUAACUUAGGAAUUGCAUUCGAUACUGGGAAGCUAGAGUAUGGGAGAGGAUGGUAGAAUUCCAGGUGUAGCGGUGAAAUGCGUAGAGAUCUGGAGGAAUACCGAUGGCGAAGGCAGCCAUCUGGCCUAAUACUGACGCUGAGGUACGAAAGCAUGGGGAGCAAACAGGAUUAGAUACCCCUGUAGUCCCUGUCUCUUAUAC
rnacentral:rRNA from 1 species